UGUGUAAUCACCUAAGGAUCUUGUUAAAAUGCAGAAUCUGAUUUAGUAGUUUGGGUAGGGUCUGAAAUUCUGCAUUUCUAAUAGGCUCCCAUAUGAUGCAGCU
rnacentral:pre_miRNA from 1 species